UGGGGAAUAUUGCACAAUGGGCGCAAGCCUGAUGCAGCUAUGCCGCGUGUGUGAAGAAGGCCUUCGGGUUGUAAAGCACUUUCAGCGGGGAGGAAGGCGUUAAGGUUAAUAACCUUGGCGAUUGACGUUACCCGCAGAAGAAGCACCGGCUAACUCCGUGCCAGCAGCCGCGGUAAUACGGAGGGUGCAAGCGUUAAUCGGAAUUACUGGGCGUAAAGCGCACGCAGGCGGUUUGUUAAGUCAGAUGUGAAAUCCCCGGGCUCAACCUGGGAACUGCAUCUGAUACUGGCAAGCUUGAGUCUCGUAGAGGGGGGUAGAAUUCCAGGUGUAGCGGUGAAAUGCGUAGAGAUCUGGAGGAAUACCGGUGGCGAAGGCGGCCCCCUGGACGAAGACUGACGCUCAGGUGCGAAAGCGUGGGGAGCAAACAGG
rnacentral:rRNA from 1 species